AAUAGAUACCCUGGUAGUCCACGCCGUAAACGAUGAGUGCUAAGUGUUGGGGGGUUUCCGCCCCUCAGUGCUGCAGCUAACGCAUUAAGCACUCCGCCUGGGGAGUACGGUCGCAAGACUGAAACUCAAAGGAAUUGACGGGGGCCCGCACAAGCGGUGGAGCAUGUGGUUUAAUUCGAAGCAACGCGAAGAACCUUACCAGGUCUUGACAUCCCGGUGACCACUAUGGAGACAUAGUUUCCCCUUCGGGGGCAACGGUGACAGGUGGUGCAUGGUUGUCGUCAGCUCGUGUCGUGAGAUGUCGGGUUAAGUCCCGCAACGAGCGCAACCCUUAUUCUUAGUUGCCAUCAUUUAGUUGGGCACUCUAAGGAGACUGCCGGUGAUAAACCGGAGGAAGGUGGGGAUGACGUCAAAUCAUCAUGCCCCUUAUGACCUGGGCUACACACGUGCUACAAUGGACGGUACAAACGGUUGCCAACCCGCGAGGGGGGAGCUAAUCCGGAUAAAACCGUUCUCAGUUCGGAUUGUAGGCUGCAACUCGCCUACA
rnacentral:rRNA from 1 species